GAUGAACGCUGGCGGCGUGCCUAAUACAUGCAAGUCGAGCGAACAGACGAGGAGCUUGCUCCUCUGCCGUUAGCGGCGGACGGGUGAGUAACACGUGGAUAACAUACUUCUAAGACUGGGAUAACUUCGGGAAACCGGAGCUACUACCAGAUAAUAUAUUGAACCGCAUGGUUCAAUAGUGAAAGACGCUUUUGCUGUCUCUUUUAGCUGAUUCCGCGCCGCAUUAGCUAGUUGGUAAGGUAACGGCUUACCAAGGCAACGAUGCGUAGCCGACCUGAGAGGAUGAUCAGCCACACUGGAACUGAGACACGGUCCAGACUCCUACGGGAGGCAGCAGUAGGGAAUCUUCCGCAAUGGGCGAAAGCCUGACGCAGCAACGCCGCGUGAGUGAAGAAGGUCUUCGGAUCGUAAAGCUCUGUUAUUAGGGAAGAACAAAUGUGUAAGUAACUAUGCACGUCUUGACGGUACCUAAUCAGAAAGCCACGGCUAACUACGUG
rnacentral:rRNA from 1 species